AAAAGAAAAUAACCAUUGAUUGCCUUAGUAACGGCGAGUGAAGAGGCAAAAGCUCAAGUUUGGAAGCUCAGUGGUUUAACCACUGCGCAUUGUAAACUGAAAACAGGAUCAAUCAGGUACACCGGGUGAUAAGUUCCUUGGAAUAGGACAUCAUGGAGGGUGAGAAUCCCGUCUUUGACCCGAGUCUAGUAUCUUUUGUAUUGGCCUGUUCAAGAGUCAGGUUGUUUGGGAAUGCAGCCUAAAGCUGGAGGUAAAUCCCUCCUGAAGCUAAAUAAUGGCGAGAGACCGAUAGCGAACAAGUACCGUGAGGGAAAGAUGAAAAGAACUCUGAAGAGAGAGUUAAACAGUACGUGAAAUUGCUUAAAGGGAAGCAUAUAAAGCUAGGAUGCGAUUGUUUUCUUCAGGUUGAGCUUUGGCUUGACUGUUCAGAAGGAUAAUCCGAGACAACAAGAAUUGGAGGAGGAGAAUAAGCUGUUAGGGAAGGUAAUCCUUCGGGAUGUUUAUAGACCUGGCAGUUCGCGCUCUUCUUUCGAUUGAGGUACGCUUUUUUUAAAGGUUGUUGU
rnacentral:rRNA from 1 species